UACGUAGGGUGCAAGCGUUUGUCCGGAAUUAUUGGGCGUAAAGAGCUCGUAGGCGGUCUGUCGCGUCGGCUGUGAAAACUCGGGGCUCAACCCCGAGCCUGCAGUCGAUACGGGGCAGACUAGAGUGCUGUAGGGGAGACUGGAAUUCCUGGUGUAGCGGUGAAAUGCGCAGAUAUCAGGAGGAACACCAAUUGCGAAGGCAGCUCGCUGGGACGUAACUGACGCUGAGACGCGAAAGCGUGGGGAGCAAACAGG
rnacentral:rRNA from 1 species